GCCCUGGUGGUUGUAAAUCGGUAGACACAAGGGAUUUAAAAUCCCUCGACUUUCGAGUCGUGCCGGUUCAAGUCCGGCCCGGGGCA
rnacentral:tRNA from 1 species